AUACGGAGGGUGCAAGCGUUGUUCGGAAUUACUGGGCGUAAAGCGCGCGUAGGUGGUCUGUUAUGUCAGAUGUGAAAGUCCACGGCUCAACCGUGGAAGUGCAUUUGAAACUGGCAGACUUGAGUACUGGAGGGGGUAGUGGAAUUCCCGGUGUAGAGGUGAAAUUCGUAGAUAUCGGGAGGAAUACCGGUGGCGAAGGCGACUACCUGGCCAGAUACUGACACUGAGGUGCGAAAGCGUGGGGAGCGAACAGGAUUAGAAACCCCUGUAGUCC
rnacentral:rRNA from 1 species